rnacentral:rRNA from 1 species
GACGAACCGUGCGAACGUUGUUCGGAAUCACUGGGCUUAAAGGGAGCGUAGGCGGGCUAUCAAGUCUGGGGUGAAAUGCCGCGGCUCAACCGUGGAACUGCCUCAGAUACUGACGGCCUCGAGGAAGAUAGGGGCAUGCGGAACUGUGAGUGGAGCGGUGAAAUGCGUUGAUAUUCACAGGAACUCCGGUGGCGAAAGCGGCGUGCUGGAUCUUUCUGACGCUGAGGCUCGAAAGCUAGGGGAGCAAACGGG